UUGGGCAGAAAGAAAAGGACUAUGUUAAGUGGGCAGCGAAGAUGGCUUUAAGCCUUAGUGCUGUGCAGGCAAACUGAUGGUCCGGAUGAAGUUGUAAGAUGCAUGCAAUGGAUACUACUGUGAUGGUUAUAGGCCAAAUUCCUAUAACAAACCCACGCUUUGGACUGAAAAUUGGGAUGGAUGUACUUUGGUGAAACAAACUUUGGUCGGACUUCCAGCGGACCGUUCUAUAUUACUAGUUAUGAUUAUGAUGCUCCAAUUGAUGAAUAUGGCUUACUGAGUGAGCCUAAAUGGUCCCAGAAGAUGUGAGAGCUCCAUUGCGACACUAUCUUUUGGAACAUUUUGACAUCAACUUGAAUGAUGAGACAACUAAAAAAUGCAUUGAUGAGCAAAUGAGAAAAGCUUGGAAGGGUCAUAAGUACAAGCUGCACUUAUAUUUCAAAGAAAUUGGAGGAGAAAAUGAUCUUGAGAAGGCCAAGAGCAAACGUCAUCCAGACUUAAAAGAAGAACAUCAAGAAGAUUGGAUGAUUUUGUGUGAUCGUUGGUGUUCUCCUGAGGAAUGA